rnacentral:rRNA from 1 species
AUUGAACGCUGGCGGCAGGCUUAACACAUGCAAGUCGAGCGGGGUGAUGGUGCUUGCACUAUCACUUAGCGGCGGACGGGUGAGUAAUGCUUAGGAAUCUGCCUAUUAGUGGGGGACAACAUCUCGAAAGGGAUGCUAAUACCGCAUACGUCCUACGGGAGAAAGCAGGGGAUCACUUGUGACCUUGCGCUACUUGGUAAGCCUAAGUCGGAUUAGCUAGUUGGUUGGGUAAAAGCCUACCAAGGCGACGAUCUGUAGCGGGUCUGAGAGGAUGAUGCGCCACACUGGGACUGAGACACGGCCCAGACUCCUACGGGAGGCAGCAGUGGGGAAUAUUGGACAAUGGGGGGAACCCUGAUCCAGCCAUGCCGCGUGUGUGAAGAAGGCCUUAUGGUUGUAAAGCACUUUAAGCGAGGAGGAGGCUCUUUUGGUUAAUACCCAAGAUGAGUGGACGUUACUCGCAGAAUAAGCACCGGCUAACUCUGUGCCAGCAGCCGCAGUAA